GUCCUGCAGGACAAGAAUUCACGUCACCAGUUUGUGUUUUUACAGUCAGAUGACGCAGACCUUCCUCUGCAGCGACACUUCCCAGCUCCUCUGGAAGAUCUCAGAGAAGAUCUAUAAUCCUUCCACUCAGCUCUUUGCUCUCUCUGCUGUGGAAGAUCUCCAUCUGCAGAUCUACCUCCU